rnacentral:rRNA from 1 species
GAUGAACGCUGGCGGCGUGCCUAAUACAUGCAAGUCGAGCGAACGGACGAGAAGCUUGCUUCUCUGAUGUUAGCGGCGGACGGGUGAGUAACACGUUGAUAACCUACCUAUAAGACUGGGAUAACUUCGGGAAACCGGAGCUAAUACCGGAUAAUAUUUUGAACCGCAUGGUUCAAAAGUAAAAGACGGUCUUGCUGUCACUUAUAGAUGGAUCCGCGCUGCAUUAGCUAGUUGGUAAGGUAACGGCUUACCAAGGCAACGAUGCAUAGCCGACCUGAGAGGGUGAUCGGCCACACUGGAACUGAGACACGGUCCAGACUCCUACGGGAGGCAGCAGUAGGGAAUCUUCCGCAAAGGGCGAAAGCCUGACGGAGCAACGCCGCGUGAGUGAUGAAGGUCUUCGGAUCGUAAAACUCUGUUAUUAGGGAAGAACAUAUGUGUAAGUAACUGUGCACAUCUUGACGGUACCUAAUCAGAAAGCCACGGCUAACUACGUG